AUGGUGUUCUUCACGCUAAUCACCGUUCAGGGUGACAAUGGCGGUGCCAUUAGCAGGAAGGCAUUGGGAGGUGGUGCCAAAUGGAAGAGCACGGGGGCAUCCAAGAUAGGGCGAGAAUUUGUUCUUGGCAAACUCUACUUCAAAAGGGAUGGCGAAACAACGCGCAGGUCCAGAGAGCAAGGGUUCACUGCUUUCGAGUUUCACCUCCCGAUGAACCUCUCGCCCCGCCCCCGAGUCGCCAUCUGCGUGCUGCAUCCUACGGACUAUCACCAUACCGUUCGGGAUUUGAAGGAUUAUACCCAGAAGGGAUGCUUUCCAGGGAGAUAUCAGGCAAACCUGCAGGUGGUGCAACAUGUGCCACCAAUCAAUCAAGGCCCCUGUGUUGCUGGUACCGGAUUCAUGAAUAGUCCACAGGUUGAUUACACCAGUAAUCUACUAGCUUCUAACAGUGAGAGAGACAUUCUGGGAGCAAAUCAAGUGGACCAGAUGGCAGUGCAACAUGAGGGACAAUAUUUAGACUCCCAUGCUGGAUUUAUGAAUGGUCUACAUGUUGAUUACACCAUUAAUAACACUGAGAGUUCUGGAUACAAUCCUCCUGCCGGAAUACAGAUGGAUAUACCAUCCAACACUUAUCCUAUGAAUGACGACAUGUCUUAUAUGCCAUCGGAAAUUAAUAUGUUUGGUGGACAAUAUUCUCAUGUAGAUGCCAUGUCAAUCCAGAGCGACUAUUGCAAUACUUCGUUUUGGAAUGGUAGCAUGCCUGCUCCAAUCCAGGAUGCCACGACUAGUUACAGCCAGCCAUCGAUUCAUUCCUCUGCAUCUCUGGAUGAACGUUUUGAUCAGCUCCUAUUAUUGGAAAACAACUCAAUGCCCGAGCCUGGUGGACAAAAUUCGCAUGCUGAUGGGAUGUCAACCCAGAACUACUACUACUACAAUCCUUAUUGA
rnacentral:rRNA from 1 species